rnacentral:rRNA from 1 species
CGUGAGAUGUUGGGUUAAGUCCCGCAACGAGCGCAACCCUUGUAUUUAGUUGCUACGCAAGAGCACUCUAGAUAGACUGCGUGGACAACACGGAGGAAGGUGGGGAUGACGUCAAAUCAUCAUGCCCCUUAUGACCUGGGCUACACACGUACUACAAUGGCAAUGGAACAGAGGGAAGCGACUCAGCGAUGAGAAGCAGAUCCCGAAAAAUUGUCUCAGUUCGGAUUGCAGGCUGCAACCCGCCUGCA